UGGGGAACCACAGAACAAACCUGGUGAAAUCACUCAGCCCCGGAGCGUCAGCCUUCCAAGUUGCUUCAUAAUUAGAAAACAAAACGCUCAGCUACAAUACCAACGGUGUUUUUACCUUCUCUGGCUACUGAAUUAUUUAUUCAAAAAAGCUUUAUCACCAGUGUGUUAUCCGGCCACCCUAGAGGGGAAGGGAUCCUUUUAUAGUGAAUAUAAGGAAUCAGAAUGAGAUAACCAGAUAAUUUAAUUUGACGUGAAUAGAUAUUGUGAGAAGCCCCAGGUAGCAUUUUCUUGCUGAAUAUGAAAUAGUUCAAGGGAAGGGACAUCAACGGCAAACAGCAGAGAAAACUAACUUGUGUAGUUGAGAACAGGUAAUGGUUUUGGACGGGCAUUGCAGCACUGAGCAGCCCGGCUUAGACGCAUAAACUCUCUGAGCAAGGAGGCCUUCAGUCCACCCGGUGAUGUCCGCUGGGUGUGUGCUAGGGAAGAGCACCCCGGUGUCCCUGGGCAAGCUUUCAAGAUGAGCUAUCACUAUCGGAGGAAGAAAUUAUGAAACUUGGACAGCCUUUUGCUUCACGACGGCCUGUGAAUUAUUAUCUCGCACUAUGUGCUCUCCUCCGUGCUUGCAAAUUGAUUUUUGGAUGAUUUGUUCCGGUUUUUCCAGAUUAGCCCUGAGCUAACAUCUGCUGCCAAUCCUCCUCUUUUUUGCUGAGGAAGACUGACCCUGAGCUAACAUCUGUGCCCAUCUUCCUCUACUUUCCAUGUGGGACACCUGCGACAGCGUGGCUUGCCAAGUGGUGCGUAGGUCCGAACUCAGACCAAACUGAUGAACCUGGGCCCCGAAGUGGAACAUUCGAACUUAACAGCUGCGCCACUGGGCCACCCCGAGGGUUCCACUUUAUCCACAUUCUUGCCAUUGUCUGUCUUUUUGGUUAUAGUCAUUCUAGUGUGUGUGGAGUAGUAUUUCGUUGUGGUUUUCUUUUGGGCCCCCAAAAUAAAAAAACUGCAAGAGUGAAACUGAGCUCUGGUGACUAGCUGAGACACUUCCCCUUCUGCCCCGCCCACGAAUAUCCUCAUUAUGAUCCUGAACUCUCCCUUGCUGCCCUCGGACUUCUGUGGCUGCUUCAUGUCGUCUUCUGCCUUAGGAAUCACUGUCAGUGGCUCAGAGCUGAGAGGGCCACAUGUGCCCAGCCAUGCAGGCACCUGCUCCUGGAAUUUCAAGUUUGAAAUCUGAAAGCGCUUUCUAUUGCCCGCUGGUCAGGCAGCAUAGCACUCGA